rnacentral:lncRNA from 10 species
CAACAACAACAACAACAACAAAAAAAAACAAAAAUCCCCCAAAACCCAAAAAAACAAACAAAAAACUAGCUAUGUGUGCUGGCAUGCGCCUAUGGUUCCAGCUACUUGGGAGGCUGAGGUUGAAGGAUUGCCUGAGCCCAGGAGGUUGAGGCUGCAGUGAGCUGCGACUGUACCACUGCACUCCAGCCUGGGUGACAGAGCAAGACCCUGUCUCAAAAAGAAAAAAAAGGUGAGGGCUAGGUAGACUUCAGGGAUGGCCACUAUCAAUUCCUUCCCAUCUCUGUGUCACUUUGCCCAUCCAGAG